UACGUAGGGUGCAAGCGUUAAUCGGAAUUACUGGGCGUAAAGCGUGCGCAGGCGGCUUUGCAAGACAGAUGUGAAAUCCCCGGGCUUAACCUGGGAACUGCAUUUGUGACUGCAUGGCUGGAGUGCGGCAGAGGGGGAUGGAAUUCCGCGUGUAGCAGUGAAAUGCGUAGAUAUGUGGAGGAACACCGAUGGCGAAGGCAGCCCCCUGGGUUAACACUGACGCUCAUGCACGAAAGCGUGGGGAGCAAACAGG
rnacentral:rRNA from 1 species